CCUGUUUAGAAAGCCACGGCUAACUACGUGCCAGCAGCCGCGGUAAUACGUAGGUGGCGAGCGUUGUCCGGAAUUACUGGGUGUAAAGGGAGUGUAGGCGGGAAGGCAAGUCAGAAGUGAAAAUUAUGGGCUUAACCCAUAACCUGCUUUUGAAACUGUUUUUCUUGAGUGAGGCAGAGGCAAGCGGAAUUCCUAGUGUAGCGGUGAAAUGCGUAGAUAUUAGGAGGAACACCAGUGGCGAAGGCGGCUUGCUGGGCCUUUACUGACGCUGAGGCUCGAAAGCGUGGGGAGCAAACAGGAUUAGAUACCCUGGUAGUCCACGCCGUAAACGAUGAUCACUAGGUGUGGGGAGUUGAACCUUUCCGUGCCGGAGUUAACACAAUAAGUGAUCCACCUGGGGAGUACGACCGCAAGGUUGAAACUCAAAGGAAUUGACGGGGGCCCGCACAAGCAGUGGAGUAUGUGGUUUAAUUCGAAGCAACGCGAAGAACCUUACCAGGUCUUGACAUCGAGUGACGAUCCCAGAGAUGGGAUUUCCCUUCGGGGCACGAAGACAGGUGGUGCAUGGUUGUCGUCAGCUCGUGUCGUGAGAUGUUGGGUUAAGUCCCGCAACGAGCGCAACCCUUACUAUUAGUUGCUACGCAAGAGCACUCUAAUAGGACUGCCGUUGAUAAAACGGAGGAAGGUGGGGAUGACGUCAAAUCAUCAUGCCCUUUAUGACCUGGGCUACACACGUACUACAAUGGCGUUUAACAAAGAGAAGCGAAACCGCGAGGUUGAGCAAAUCCCCAAAAAACGUCUCAGUUCAGAUUGCAGGCUGCAACUCGCCUGCAUGAAGUCGGAAUUGCUAGUAAUCGUAGGUCAGCAUACUACGGUGAAUACGUUCCCGGGCCUUGUACACACCGCCCGUCAAACCAUGAGAGUUGGCAACACCCGAAGCCGGUAGUCUAACCGCAAGGAGGACGCCGUCGA
rnacentral:rRNA from 1 species